GGACUACUGGGGUAUCUAAUCCUGUUUGCUCCCCACGCUUUCGCGUCUCAGCGUCAGUACCGUCCCAGCGAGCUGCCUUCGCCAUUGGUGUUCCUCCUGAUAUCUGCGCAUUUCACCGCUACACCAGGAAUUCCACUCGCCUCUUCCGGACUCUAGUUCGACAGUAUCCACCGGCAUUCCAGGGUUGAGCCCUGGACUUUCACAGCAGACUUACCAAACCGCCUACACGCGCUUUACGCCCAAUGAUUCCGGACAACGCUUGCCCCCUACGUAUUACCGCGGCGGCUGGCAC
rnacentral:rRNA from 1 species